GAUUUGUCUUAUUCCUGAUGAUGUUAGCAUUGACCGCUAAUGGUGGUAUCUGCUGUGUUUGAGAUUUGACUUGCUGAAUGAGCCAAGCAUAGUACCUGAAAUAAAUCUAACUCAGUCAGGUGAUACUGGCUUUAUAAAACUAUUUGGCAUCCACAGCUCAUGAGAAUUAUUCACAAAUAUCCCCUCUUGCCCCUGGGUUUUGUGAUUGGGACCUGAGUGUACUGGAUCUGACAUGUGGGCCCAUCCUCUGGGCCCUGGAGAUCAAUCCCUGAACAUAGCAGGGAGAAGCAUACUGUUCCCAAGUCCCUCCUGGGAUGCUCAAGCUGGAUCAAUGUCCCU